AACAAACGCUGGCGGCGUGCCUAACACAUGCAAGUCGUACGAGAAAGUCGGCUUCGGCCGAUGAGUACAGUGGCGCACGGGUGAGUAGCGCGUGGGUAAUCUGCCCCCCGGUCAGGAAUAACCCGCCGAAAGGCGGGCUAAUACCCGAUAACACUGACGCUCCGCGGAGCGUCUUUCAAAGGAGGCCUCUGUUUACAAGCUUUCGCCGGAGGAUGAGCCCGCGUACCAUUAGCUAGUUGGCAGGGUAAUGGCCUACCAAGGCUGCGAUGGUUAGCUGGUCUGAGAGGAUGGCCAGCCACACUGGAACUGAGACACGGUCCAGACUCCUACGGGAGGCAGCAGUGAGGAAUCUUGCGCAAUGGGGAAACCCUGACGCAGCAACGCCGCGUGAGUGAGGAAGGCCUUCGGGUCGUAAAGCUCUGUCAGAUGGGAAGAAAUGGGUGGGGCGUAAUAUACGCCCAUCCUUGACGGUACCAUCAGAGGAAGCACCGGCUAACUCCG
rnacentral:rRNA from 1 species